CCGGUGCUUCCCUGCGGAGUGCGACCGUCCCGCACCGGCAUCUGCGGGAGCGGGACGUGGCGCUGUGAUUCCCGUUGCCCAUUGUAGUCUCCCGCAGGAUUCCGUGUUGAGAUCGUGGCACGUUCGCACCGCCCGGCUCUGACCGCUUGGCUCGCGCUCGACGGUCGCGUUCCCCCUGCUUGGUAUGCCCGCUGUGUCCCCCCACCCGGCAGCACACUGGUUUUGCGAUUCAUUCCUUGGCAUAGAAAUUACUUUGGAGUCUUAUUUUUCAUCACUAGAAUUAGCAGACGUGAGGCAGCUUUGUGCGGGCGUUCUGUAGGGAUUUCUACCAGCCGCAUCACCUGCACCAAGGCUCUGUCCUGCUUCUCCCUAUCCUAGUCCCGUUCCUUUCCUUGAGUCCAUCACCAUAUCCUUCAAGCAGGUGCCCAGUAUCCAGUGCAAAUAUCAAAGUUUUGGCCAGGAACUCCCUAGGUGUGGCAAUACCAGAUGAUAAUUCCUGCAUGAGCCUGUGAGGGUUUGGCUCUUUGAAAGGAGCUUCCAGAACCCCCAGGAAAAAACCAGAGGAAACAACUUGGUGUCUCUGGCAGGAAGAUUUGAUUCUCAGUCCCUAUGUCUGAAAAAAGCCUACAAUUACACCUUACCUAACAGAAAAGCUGUGAGGCUUGAUUAGUGUGUGCCUGGUGAAGUCUAUUGCACCAGCAAAGGAAGGAAUGAAGUGUCCCAAUAACUCUGCAUCCACCAGGUGCCGUGGCUGCCUUCAAGGGGACUCCUAAAAUUGUUUGGCUCUUGGAGGCUUUGCUUCCACGGAAGUUACAUCCUGCUUCCCAUCACCAUGUGGAAAGAAGGGCACCAAAGAUCAAAACAUAGCAGAAGGGUUCAGCAGAUAUUGGUUCUCAUGUCCGUAGGGACAUGUGGUGUGUCCUGUGGCACAUCACUCUUGCCCAUGUGUAGUGUGAGGGUAAGAGCACCUUGUCACCUCUGGAGGAUGCUCCAAGUUCCUUAGAGCUACCUAAGUGGGCAAUCACAGAGAGAUGCUUAUGAAGUGCACAACUCCAGACAUCCUGAGAUUGCAAGCAAUGAGGACUUUAUGUAUUAUUUUGAUGAUUAUAUGACAUUUAUAUUUCAAGAGUGAUCAGAUGUUCUAGAAAUUGUGCAAACUGAUAAAGUAAU